AUUGAACGCUGGCGGUAUGCUUAACACAUGCAAGUCGAACGCGAACGGUACUUCGGUACUUAUUAGAGUGGCGGACGGGUGCGUAACGCGUGGGAAUCUGCCCAGUAGUUGGGGACAACCUGGUGAAAACCAGGCUAAUACCGAAUACGCCCUACGGGGGAAAGAUGGCCUCUUCUUGAAAGCUAUCACUAUUGGAUGAGCCCGCGUAAGAUUAGCUAGUUGGUGAGGUAAAGGCUCACCAAGGCGACGAUCUUUAGCUGGUCUGAGAGGAUGAUCAGCCACACUGGGACUGAGACACGGCCCAG
rnacentral:rRNA from 1 species